AGAGCUUUAGGUUAAUCAAAACCUUAUGUCUUCAAAACAUAAAAAGCUAACGCAAGCUUUA
rnacentral:tRNA from 1 species